rnacentral:rRNA from 1 species
GACGAACGCUGGCGGCGUGCUUAACACAUGCAAGUCGAACGGAAAGGCCCUGCUUUUGUGGGGUGCUCGAGUGGCGAACGGGUGAGUAACACGUGAGUAACCUGCCCUUGACUUUGGGAUAACUUCAGGAAACUGGGGCUAAUACCGGAUAGGAGCUCCUGCUGCAUGGUGGGGGUUGGAAGGUUUCGGCGGUUGGGGAUGGACUCGCGGCUUAUCAGCUUGUUGGUGGGGUAGUGGCUUACCAAGGCUUUGACGGGUAGCCGGCCUGAGAGGGUGACCAGCCACAUUGGGACUGCGAUACGGCCCAGACUCCUACGGUAGGCAACAGUGGGGAAUAUUGCACAAUGGGCGGAAGCCUGAUGCAACAACGCCGCGUUCGUAAUGACGUCCUUCCGGUUGUAAACCGCUUUCGCCUAUGACGAAGCGUGAGUGACGGUAAUGGGUAAAUAAGCACCGGCUAACUACGUG